rnacentral:rRNA from 1 species
AGUAGGUCCCAAGGGUUGGGCUGUUCGCCCAUUAAAGUGGUACGCGAGCUGGGUUCAGAACGUCGUGUGACAGUUCGGUCCCUAUCCGUCGCAGGCGUAGGAAAUUUGAGAAGACCUGUCCUUAGUACGAGAGGACCGGGAUGGACGUACCUCUGGUGUACCAGUUGUUCUGCCAAGGGCAUGGCUGGGUAGCUAUGUACGGAAUGGAUAAGCGCUGAAAGCAUCUAAGCGCGAAGCCAACUUCAAGAUAAGAUUUCCCACCGCAAGGGUAAGACCCCAGAAAGACUAUCUGGUUGAUAGGUCGAAGGUGUAAGUGCAGCAAUGUAUUUAGCUUAUCGAUACUAAUAGGUCGAGGACUUGACCAAU